UACGAAGGGGGCUAGCGUUGCUCGGAAUCACUGGGCGUAAAGCGCACGUAGGCGGAUUGUUAAGUCAGGGGUGAAAUCCUGGAGCUCAACUCCAGAACUGCCUUUGAUACUGGCGAUCUUGAGUCCGGGAGAGGUGAGUGGAACUGCGAGUGUAGAGGUGAAAUUCGUAGAUAUUCGCAAGAACACCAGUGGCGAAGGCGGCUCACUGGCCCGGUACUGACGCUGAAUAGCGAAAGCCAGGGGAGCAAACGGG
rnacentral:rRNA from 1 species